GAUUAACGCUGGCGGCGUGCAUAACACAUGCAAGUCGAACGAAGUGGCGGACGGGUGAGUAACGCGUGAGUAACCUGCCUUAGAGAAGGGGAUAGCCUUUGGAAACGAAGAAUAAUACCCUAUGCACUAAGAUGGACUUGCGUCUGAUUAGUCAGUUGGUGGGGUAACGGCCAACCAAGACAGCGAUCAGUAGCCGGCUUGAGACAGUGUACGGCCACAUUGGGACUGAGACACGGCCCAGACUCUACAGGAGGCAGCAGUGGGGAAUUUUGCACAAUGGGGGAAACCCUGAUUCAGCGACGCCGCGGGAUUUAGAAGGCCUUCGGGUUGUAAAAAUCUUUUCUAUGGGAAGCAGUACCAUAGGAAUAAGGACCGGCUAAUUACGUGCCAGCAGCCGCGGUAAUUC
rnacentral:rRNA from 1 species